rnacentral:rRNA from 1 species
AGCGUACACGGUGGAUGCCCUGGCAGUCAGAGGCGAUGAAGGACGUGCUAAUCUGCGAUAAGCGUCGGUAAGGUGAUAUGAACCGUUAUAACCGGCGAUUUCCGAAUGGGGAAACCCAGUGUGAUUCGUCACACUAUCAUUAACUGAAUCCAUAGGUUAAUGAGGCGAACCGGGGGAACUGAAACAUCUAAGUACCCCGAGGAAAAGAAAUCAACCGAGAUUCCCCCAGUAGCGGCGAGCGAACGGGGAGCAGCCCAGAGCCUGAAUCAGUGUGUGUGUUAGUGGAAGCGUCUGGAAAGGCGCGCGAUACAGGGUGACAGCCCCGUACACAAAAAUGCACAUACUGUGAGCUCGAUGAGUAGGGCGGGACACGUGGUAUCCUGUCUGAAUAUGGGGGGACCAUCCUCCAAGGCUAAAUACUCCUGACUGACCGAUAGUGAACCAGUACCGUGAGGGAAAGGCGAAAAGAACCCCGGCGAGGGGAGUGAAAAAGAACCUGAAACCGUGUACGUACAAGCAGUGGGAGCACGCUUAGGCGUGUGACUGCGUACCUUUUGUAUAAUGGGUCAGCGACUUAUAUUCUGUAGCAAGGUUAACCGAAUAGGGGAGCCGAAGGGAAACCGAGUCUUAACUGGGCGUUAAGUUGCAGGGUAUAGACCCGAAACCCGGUGAUCUAGCCAUGGGCAGGUUGAAGGUUGGGUAACACUAACUGGAGGACCGAACCGACUAAUGUUGAAAAAUUAGCGGAUGACUUGUGGCUGGGGGUGAAAGGCCAAUCAAACCGGGAGAUAGCUGGUUCUCCCCGAAAGCUAUUUAGGUAGCGCCUCGUGAAUUCAUCUCCGGGGGUAGAGCACUGUUUCGGCAAGGGGGUCAUCCCGACUUACCAACCCGAUGCAAACUGCGAAUACCGGAGAAUGUUAUCACGGGAGACACACGGCGGGUGCUAACGUCCGUCGUGAAGAGGGAAACAACCCAGACCGCCAGCUAAGGUCCCAAAGUCAUGGUUAAGUGGGAAACGAUGUGGGAAGGCCCAGACAGCCAGGAUGUUGGCUUAGAAGCAGCCAUCAUUUAAAGAAAGCGUAAUAGCUCACUGGUCGAGUCGGCCUGCGCGGAAGAUGUAACGGGGCUAAACCAUGCACCGAAGCUGCGGCAGCGACGCUUAUGCGUUGUUGGGUAGGGGAGCGUUCUGUAAGCCUGCGAAGGUGUGCUGUGAGGCAUGCUGGAGGUAUCAGAAGUGCGAAUGCUGACAUAAGUAACGAUAAAGCGGGUGAAAAGCCCGCUCGCCGGAAGACCAAGGGUUCCUGUCCAACGUUAAUCGGGGCAGGGUGAGUCGACCCCUAAGGCGAGGCCGAAAGGCGUAGUCGAUGGGAAACAGGUUAAUAUUCCUGUACUUGGUGUUACUGCGAAGGGGGGACGGAGAAGGCUAUGUUGGCCGGGCGACGGUUGUCCCGGUUUAAGCGUGUAGGCUGGUUUUCCAGGCAAAUCCGGAAAAUCAAGGCUGAGGCGUGAUGACGAGGCACUACGGUGCUGAAGCAACAAAUGCCCUGCUUCCAGGAAAAGCCUCUAAGCAUCAGGUAACAUCAAAUCGUACCCCAAACCGACACAGGUGGUCAGGUAGAGAAUACCAAGGCGCUUGAGAGAACUCGGGUGAAGGAACUAGGCAAAAUGGUGCCGUAACUUCGGGAGAAGGCACGCUGAUAUGUAGGUGAAGUCCCUCGCGGAUGGAGCUGAAAUCAGUCGAAGAUACCAGCUGGCUGCAACUGUUUAUUAAAAACACAGCACUGUGCAAACACGAAAGUGGACGUAUACGGUGUGACGCCUGCCCGGUGCCGGAAGGUUAAUUGAUGGGGUCAGCGCAAGCGAAGCUCUUGAUCGAAGCCCCGGUAAACGGCGGCCGUAACUAUAACGGUCCUAAGGUAGCGAAAUUCCUUGUCGGGUAAGUUCCGACCUGCACGAAUGGCGUAAUGAUGGCCAGGCUGUCUCCACCCGAGACUCAGUGAAAUUGAACUCGCUGUGAAGAUGCAGUGUACCCGCGGCAAGACGGAAAGACCCCGUGAACCUUUACUAUAGCUUGACACUGAACAUUGAGCCUUGAUGUGUAGGAUAGGUGGGAGGCUUUGAAGUGUGGACGCCAGUCUGCAUGGAGCCGACCUUGAAAUACCACCCUUUAAUGUUUGAUGUUCUAACGUUGACCCGUGAUCCGGGUUGCGGACAGUGUCUGGUGGGUAGUUUGACUGGGGCGGUCUCCUCCUAAAGAGUAACGGAGGAGCACGAAGGUUGGCUAAUCCUGGUCGGACAUCAGGAGGUUAGUGCAAUGGCAUAAGCCAGCUUGACUGCGAGCGUGACGGCGCGAGCAGGUGCGAAAGCAGGUCAUAGUGAUCCGGUGGUUCUGAAUGGAAGGGCCAUCGCUCAACGGAUAAAAGGUACUCCGGGGAUAACAGGCUGAUACCGCCCAAGAGUUCAUAUCGACGGCGGUGUUUGGCACCUCGAUGUCGGCUCAUCACAUCCUGGGGCUGAAGUAGGUCCCAAGGGUAUGGCUGUUCGCCAUUUAAAGUGGUACGCGAGCUGGGUUUAGAACGUCGUGAGACAGUUCGGUCCCUAUCUGCCGUGGGCGCUGGAGAAUUGAGGGGGGCUGCUCCUAGUACGAGAGGACCGGAGUGGACGCAUCACUGGUGUUCGGGUUGUCAUGCCAAUGGCACUGCCCGGUAGCUAAAUGCGGAAGAGAUAAGUGCUGAAAGCAUCUAAGCACGAAACUUGCCCCGAGAUGAGUUCUCCCUGACUCCUUGA